GGGAAGAAAGUUGGUUUGAUUUUGAGAGCCUUGGAAGAUCAUUAAAAUUUCAUAACAGGCAGAAAAAAAAAGGUUGUUUGCUUAUAAGGUCUCUAGUGUUUAAAGAGCUAGAGACAAAACUGCCGAGCAGAAUAUUCCAGUUUAUCCUGUGGAAUAGGAAGGAAUGGCCCCAGACAUAAUUACAACUCUGCUGAGGGCACACCAGCCGAAGCCUUCAGCAUGGCAUGGAAAUGCAUCCUGCAGGCUUGGAGCCAUAGGUAUGUCCUUUUUCUUCCUUUUAUCCAUUACACUUGAUCCUGACACAGCCAGUCAGAUGUUGUUCUUUCUGGAGGGCGGCAACUCGGAAAACGCCAAAUAUCUGAUUUAUUUGUGGUUAAGAAAACGGUCCCUGCAUGAGCUGAACGCUUCCCUCCUUUUUGUUGCAGUACCUGCCAAAAUCCUUACAUUCUCAGAAACUUUCCUCGGCGCUGGCGUUGUUAUUGCAGCUCCAGCACCCCUGGAGAGGCUGAAGCCCCUGCUCCUGACGUGUGCCUUAGCCCAGCUGCUGCCUGCGGCGGAGGCAGGACAGGGGAUGGGGAUGAAGCAGACAAAUGAGGUUGUAAUCGGUUGGGGAGCAGAUGUAAAAUCCAAUCCACCAAAUUCGGCAAAGAGGCAGCCUGCCCUUUCCCACUCCCAGUGCAGUCUUCUCCUUUUGACAGUCUGCUGAAAGGACCUCCAUUGUGUGUUACUUAACACAUCUGUGAAUUUAUUGCAAGCUGAUGCUUUCUGUUUUAUAUCUCAGUGGCACAAGAGGAAGAUGCGGAAGAACAAUUCAUCCCAGAUCUCUGACUCCAUGCCGCAUCCAAAUGUGGUAAAACCCUGAAAAGCACUGACGUAGGAGAGCCCUGCUUGUCCCGGCCUGAUCCUGAAUGCAACUGACACCCACUGACUUUUCCCUGUAGCAGAUGCUUAGGGAAAAAGGAGAGAAAUUGAAUAAACAGUAGGAAAAAGCAGGCUUAUUUCCCA
rnacentral:lncRNA from 1 species